rnacentral:rRNA from 1 species
AGAAUCAACGCUGGCGGCGUGCCUAACACAUGCAAGUCGAACGAGAAAGGGUAGCAAUACCUGAGUAAAGUGGCGCACGGGUGAGUAACACGUGACUAACCUACCCUGGAGUGGGGGAUAACUGAGGGAAACCUUAGCUAAUACCGCAUAACACCUACGGGUCAAAGGAGCAAUUCGCUUCAGGAGGGGGUCGCGGCCGAUUAGUUAGUUGGCGGGAUAAUGGCCCACCAAGACAGUGAUCGGUA